AGCUCCAAUAGCGUAUAUUAAAGUUGUUGCAGUUAAAAAGCUCGUAGUUGAAUUUCUGGCCAAUCUUGUGCUGCGCUUCUAGCCGGUACGAGGUUUGGUCAUCCGUAAGGGAAGCUAGUACGAACUUCAAUGGUCGGCUAGGGGAACUUACAAUUUACUGUGAAAAAAAUUAGAGUGUUUCAGGCAGGCAAUCGCUUGGAUACUCCAGCAUGGAAUAAUGGAAUAGGACUUUGGUCGAUUUGUUGGUUUGAGAUCAAAGUAAUGAUUAAUAGGGACAGUUGGGGGCAUUCGUAUUUAAUUGUCAGAGGUGAAAUUCUUGGAUUUAUUAAAGACGGACUUAUGCGAAAGCAUUUGCCAAGGAUGUUUUCA
rnacentral:rRNA from 1 species